ACGAGGCACCGACACCGACCGCAUCACGCAGCCUCUUCUCUCGAGCAGCAGCCUUCGGAGCAUCACGCACCCAGCUACCAUGAUCAAGGUUCUGGUCCUCCUCGCCAUUCUGGCCUUGUUCGCUGUCUCCUACACUGUGGCAGCGCCACAGUACUACGUCGCAGACAGCCUGUACUACGGCUAUCCGUACGCGGGUUACUAUGGCGCCUACUACCCGCACUACUACUACGGGCGCUAAGCUCGAUCCACAACGACAGUUCACGGUAACCCUUUCUUCGAAAGCAACCUCACCUCGCUAACGCAUUCCAGUGUCCACUGCCAAUGGCACCUGUGAAGUACUGCCUCGUCAUCCCGGCAUGUUGAACUUCGAGCCGCACUUGCUCACUGAGCUGUGGUUCUGCAUUCCCCUAGAACUCAGUGAUGUAUCCUGUCCUAACGUCGGGCUUUCUUCCAUCUGGUAACUUGUUUAUGAAAUAAAACACCAUUAUAACCAGAUUUCCAGACU
rnacentral:lncRNA from 1 species